ACUAGUUUUUAAUUCAUUUUUGGUACAUUUGAUGUGCAUUAAACACUCUCCAACAGCUCUAAACCAACUUUAAGACAUUCUCAAGGAUAAAUGAUGACUAUAAAUACUCUCUUGAAGUGAAAAAUCAUAAGAUUUUACAAGCAUUCAAUUUUAAAUCUGAGAAAAGCUCAUUCAGUCCUAAAAGAGAGAGAAGAAAUAUUUAAUCACUUCACCAACCACUCUCCAGC
rnacentral:lncRNA from 1 species